rnacentral:rRNA from 1 species
CCUACGUGAGGCAGCAGUGGGGGAUAUUGCACAAUGGGGGAAACCCUGAUGCAGCGACGCCGCGUGUGGGAAGACGGUCCUCUGGAUUGUAAACCACUGUCCCCAGGGACGAAGAUGACGGUACCUGGGGAGGAAGCUCCAGCUAAAUACGUGCCCGCAGCCGCGGUAAUACGUAGGCAGCGAGCGUUUUCCGGAAUUACUGGGUGUAAAGGUAGCGUAGGCGGGGAUGAAAGUUGGGUGUCAAAACUACCGGCUCAACUGGUAGUCGCACUCAAAACUGCAGCUCUUGAGUGAAGUAGAGGCAGGCGGAAUGCCUGGGGUAGCGGUGAAAUGCGUAGAUAUUAGGAGGAACACCAGUGGCGAAGGCAGCCUGCUGGGCUUUUACUGACGCUGAGGCUCGAAAGUGUGGGGAGCAAACAGGAUUAGAUACCCGAGUAGUC